AUGGGUGUCAAGGUGUGCAUAGUCGCAUUCAGCAUCACACUUUUGUUGUUCAUAAAGAAAAUUCUGAAGCUUCUUGGCGUGCCCCACCACCAUGUCGACCGCCCCCUUCGCCGCCGUGGCUCACCGAACCGCUCCUCCCAACUGGCAAACAGCGCACAGUCGUGGAGUCCUCCCCUCCUCGAUCAACCUCACGCCCAACAACCUCCUGCUGGUGUUUAUACAGCUAAAAAAGAGCACAAAUUAUACUGUUGUUACGUGGAAUAUGCACGUCGAUUUGCCGCGCUGAGGUGCGAAACCCGACGGCGACCAGGUCCGCGGAUUUCAUAG
rnacentral:rRNA from 1 species